UGGCCCCAAAGCUGCCGAGAGCAACACGUUAGCAUUGGCCCAGGCUGCUUUUCCUGAGUCUUUUUAUUAUUAUUAAAAAAAAAAAAAAUAAAACACCACUCCUGUAAUACAAUAGUUACUGCUAUACUUGUUAAAAACUGAGCCCUUUUAAAGGACAAGAGAUUAGCAUUCCUGCCUUCCUGACACCCUAUCUCCAAAUCUUUUGCUGUUCGUUUUUACCACGUUCCAUAUAAACGCACAGAAAUCCUGCAGGUUAACAUUUGCUGUACUUUUCCCCACUUUUGGAAAUCUUUGAAGUUUUUGUUAAAAUACGGCUUACCUUUCAGUUUGAAGACAUCAAAUAUUGAUAUCAAUUUUCCAAAAUUCCAUUGAUGUGAAAUCUGCCUACAGGCUGAGAAAAGCUUACUUACAGGGGCCCUGGGACUCUGCUGCCGUUGCUCUUCUAUGUGGUAAAA